CUCCUACGGGAGGCAGCAGUGGGGAAUAUUGCACAAUGGAGGAAACUCUGAUGCAGCGAUGCCGCGUGAGGGAAGAAGGUUUUCGGAUUGUAAACCUCUGUCUUCAGGGACGAUAAUGACGGUACCCGCGGAGGAAGCAUCGGCUAACUACGUGCCAGCAGCCGCGGUAAUACGUAGGAUGCGAGCGUUGUUCGGAAUUACUGGGCGUAAAGAGUACGUAGGCGGUGAUGUAAGUCUGAUAUUAAAGACAGAAGCUCAACUUCUGGAGUGUAUCGGAGACUGCAUUGCUAGAGGGUAAUAGAGGAAGUCGGAAUUCUCAGUGUAGCGGUGAAAUGCGUAGAUAUUGGGAAGAACACCGGCGGCGAAAGCGGACUUCUGGGUUACUACUGACGCUGAGGUACGAAAGCGUGGGGAGCAAACGGGAUUAGAUACCCCGGUAGUCCACGCGGUAAACGAUGGAUACUAGGUGUAACAGGAUUCGACCCCUGUUGUGCCGUAGCUAACGCAAUAAGUAUCCCGCCUGGGGAGUAUGGCCGCAAGGUUGAAACUCAAAGGAAUUGACGGGGGCCCGCACAAGCGGUGGAGGAUGUGGUUUAAUUCGACGCAACGCGAAGAACCUUACCAAGACUUGACAUCCAUAGAAUUUUUUAGAAAUAGAGAAGUGCCUGAAAGGGAACUAUGAGACAGGUGGUGCAUGGCUGUCGUCAGCUCGUGUCGUGAGAUGUUGGGUUAAGUCCCGCAACGAGCGCAACCCUCGACGUUAGUUACCAACAGUAAGAUGGGGACUCUAACGUGACUGCCGGUGAUAAACCGGAGGAAGGUGAGGACGACGUCAAGUCAUCAUGCCCCUUACGUCUUGGGCUACACACGUCCUACAAUGGUAUAGACAAAGAGCUGCAAAUCCGCGAGGGUAAGCGAAUCUCAUAAACUAUAUCUCAGUUCGGAUUGUAGGCUGCAACUCGCCUACAUGAAGUCGGAAUCGCUAGUAACCGUAGAUCAGAAUGCUACGGUGAAUACGUUCCCGGGCCUUGUACACACCGCCCGUCACACCACGAAAGUUUGUCAUACCCGAAACCGGUGAGCUAACCGCAAGGAGGCAGCCGUCUAAGGUAGGGCCGAUGAUUGGGGUGAAGUCGUAACAAGGUAGCCGUACUAGUACGCGCGGUAC
rnacentral:rRNA from 1 species